rnacentral:rRNA from 1 species
GCUUACCGUGGCAGUGACGGUUAACGGGGGAUUAGGGUUCGAUUCCGGAGAGGGAGCCUGAGAAACGGCUACCACAUCUAAGGAAGGCAGCAGGCGCGCAAAUUACCCAAUUCUAACAGCAUAAGAGAGGUAGUGACAAGAAAUAACAAUACAAGGUAAUUAAAUUGCUUUGUAAUUGGAAUGAUAGAAAUUUAAACACUUUUUAAAGUAUCAAUUGGAGGGCAAGUCUGGUGCCAGCAGCCGCGGUAAUUCCAGCUCCAAUAGCGUAUAUUAAAAUUGUUGCAGUUAAAAAGCUCGUAGUUGAAUUUCUGUUAAAAAUAACCGGUCUGCUUUUAUUAAAAGUGGUAUCUUGGUGUGUUUUUAGCAAUAAUGUCCUUUGAAAUGUUUUUUACUUUAUUGUAAUAAGUCAUUAUUUUGAGGAUUUUUACUUUGAGAAAAUUAGAGUGUUUCUAGCAGGCUUACGCUUUUGAAUACUGCAGCAUGGAAUAAUAAGAUAGGAUUUUAGUUCUACAUUAUUGGUUUUAAGAACUAAAUUAAUGAUUGAUAGGGAUAGUUGGGGGCAUU